UUUUAAUAUUUUUUUAAAAAAAUUAUGGCUUCAACAAGCUCACCAGCGCCACCACCUCCACAACCGCCACCACCGCUACUGCCGCCAGCUGACCCGUCAUCUUCGACAAACGACGACGUUGCAGCGAAGGCCGUGAACAAGCGAUUCGAAGGUCUGAUGAUGGUCCGAACCAAGGCUAUAAAAGGGAAAGGAGCGUGGUACUGGGCUCACCUAGAGCCCAUCCUUAUUAAGAACCCGGACACAAAUAUCUCUAAAGCUGUCAAACUCAAGUGUUCGUUAUGCGACGCCGUUUUCUCUGCGUCUAACCCUUCAAGGACGGCCUCCGAACACCUUAAACGCGGCACCUGCCCCAAUUUCAGUGCCGUUUUGAGAACCAACCAUUCUCUCUCUCCGUUACCGUUAUCUUCCUUGGCUUCGCCUUCUGUUGUUCAUGUUAAUAACAAUUCUAUGAACAAUAAUAGUAACAACAUUAACAGAAAGCGAAGUAAGAACCAAUCAGAAACAGGUAACUCUUCUCAUUAUCACCAACUUAGCAACAGCAAUUCACUAGCGAUAGUUGAGUCAACUCGUGGUUGUAAUGAACUGAGUUAUUCUCCGAGUAAUGCGGGGCAGACUCAGCAACAUUUGGUUCUAUCUGGUGGAAAAGAAGACUUGGGAGCGUUAGCAAUGUUGGAAGAUAGUGUCAAGAAGCUAAAGAGUCCUAAAACUAGGCCUGGUCCUGUCCUAAGCAAGGACCAGAUUGAUUCAGCUGUUGAAUUAUUAGCUGAUUGGUUUUAUGAUUCGUGUGGGUCAGUUUCAUUUUCGAGUCUCGACCAUCCUAAGUUCAAGGCUUUCCUCAAUCAAGUGGGUUUGCCAUUCGUGUCCCGUAGGGAGGUUUUGGAAGCUCGACUUGAUAGCAAGUUUGUUGAGGCUAAAACUGAGUCAGAAGCUCGAAUUAGGGAGGCUAUGUUUUUUCAACUUGCUUCUGAUGGGUGGAAGAUUAAGAGUUGUGGAGGUGAAGAUAAUUUAGUUAAGUUUACUGUUAAUUUACCUAAUGGGACUAGUGUGUACCAAAAGGCUGUCAUUACUGGAGGAUUAGUUUCGUCUAAGUAUGCAGAAGAGAUUUUAUGGGAGACGGUGACUGGAAUAUGUGGGAGUGGUGUUCAGAGAUGUGUAGGGAUAGUUGCUGAUAAGUAUAAGGCUAAGGCAUUGAGGAAUUUAGAGAUUCAGAAUCAGUGGAUGGUUAAUCUCUCAUGCCAGCUUCAGGGGUUUGUUAGUUUGAUUAAAGAUUUUAGCAAAGACCUUCCGGUGUUUAGGACUGUUACUGAGAAUUGCUUGAGGAUUGCGAAUUUUGUAAAUAAUAAAUCGCAGAUUAGGAAUAGUUUACGGAAGUACAAGAUGUUGGAGCUUGAGUAUGUUGGUUUGAUUCGAGUUCCUUCAAACAAAUGUGAUUGUGAAAACAACUUUGUACCUGUUUUUGCAAUGUUGGAGGAUAUAUUAAGUUCUGCCCGUGUGCUUCAAAUGGUUGUGUUGGAUGAGUCGUUUAAGUUAAGUUGCAUGGAGGAUCCAGUUGCUAGGGAAGUUGUUGCAAUGAUUCAAAGUGAGGUGUUUUGGAAUGAACUGGAAGCUGUUUAUUCCCUUGUGAAGCUCAUCAAAGGGAUGACUCAAGAGAUUGAGGCUGAGAGACCGUUAAUUGGACAAUGCCUCCCUCUUUGGGAGGAGUUGAAAUCAAAAGUCAAGAAUUGGUGUGCCAAAUUUGGUAUCUGCGAAGGACCUGUUGAGAAAAUAGUUGAAAAAAGAUUUAGAAAAAACUAUCAUCCAGCAUGGUCGGCUGCUUUUAUUCUUGACCCUCUUUACUUGGUGAGGGACAAUAGCGGAAAAUACCUUCCCCCGUUCAAAUGCUUGACACAAGAGCAGGAAAAGGAUGUGGAUAAGCUCAUAACCCGGCUUGUUUCAAGGGAAGAAGCUCAUCUCGCAUUGAUGGAGCUCAUGAAAUGGAGAUCAGAAGGGCUGGACCCACUCUAUGCUCAGGCUGUCCAGGUUAAGCAGAGAGAUCCUAUAACCGGAAAGAUGAAAAUUGCAAAUCCCCAGAGCAGUAGGCUUGUCUGGGAAACUUGCCUUAGUGAGUACAAAUCGUUAGGGAAAGUUGCAGUGAGGUUAAUUUUCCUACAUGCAACCUCAUCUGGGUUUAAAUGUAAUUGGUCCUUUACGAAGUGGGUUUGUGUGCAUAGACACUCACGUGUGGGCCUUGAAAGGGCUCAGAAGAUGAUAUUUGUUGCAGCUCAUGCCAAGCUUGAAAGACGGGAUUUCUCUAAUGAGGAAGAAAAGGAUGCAGAGCUCUUUGCUACAUCAGGCUGUGAGGAUGACAUGCUCAACGAAGUCUUUGCUGAUGCUUCAUCAAUACCAGGGAUUGCUUGAACCGGUCGGGAAAAUGGCAAAUCAGACUUGGGUCUUGACAUGGGUCAACCUCGGAAGAAAUGGAGAGCAGAUCUUUGUUGCCGAAGCUGCACUUCUUGGUGAUAUGAGUCAGCUGAAUCACCUAAGGUGUCUGUUUCUAAAAAUGUGGAGCCCCACCGUGAGGAGUGGAUGUCCAUCUCAGUGCUUUAAUUGUCAUAGUCAAAGAAAAGUUGAAAAUUAAACCGUGGAGAGCUGUCCGUUAGAGUAGCCAUGAUUACCAAAAAAGUAUUGAGCAAAACAGAAGCAAGGAGGCUUGUCGGCAUAAGGAGGCACAUACGAUGGCUGAUAGGUAUAUUGCAGCAACUUUGAACGUGUUAGCAGGUUCUACAUUUCAGCAAGUGUUGUUGACUAUAACUCAGCAGGAAGGAUCCUGUCGGCAAGGUCAGUAAUGUUGACUGCUCACCAACCAGAAAGGAGAGCUUUUUCAAUCGUAUGGUAUGGUUUCAUUGUUCUCUCCACUUAUCUUCUUGUUCAAAAGGAAUAAGUAUAAUGAUUAGUACUGAAAACACAACUCUCUUUAUACAAGAAUCUUCUCACUUUCAAUCAUCCUCCAUCAUUAAUCUCUCUUUUCAUCAUCUCUCUUUUUUACUUUCACUUAUACAACAACUCUUGAUAGUAAAUGAAAUUGAAAUCCAUUCUUGUGAAAUG